CGAACGGGUGUAGCAAUACAUCAGUGGCAGACGGGUGAGUAACACGUGGGAACCUUCCUAGGGGUACGGAACAACUCAGGGAAACUUGAGCUAAUACCGUAUACGUCCGUGAGGAGAAAGAUUUAUCGCCCUUAGACGGGCCCGCGUCGGAUUAGGUAGUUGGUGGGGUAACGGCCUACCAAGCCUACGAUCCGUAGCUGAUCUUAGAGGAUGAUCAGCCACACUGGGACUGAGACACGGCCCAG
rnacentral:rRNA from 1 species